rnacentral:rRNA from 1 species
CCUACGGGGGGCAGCAGUGGGGAAUCUUGCGCAAUGGGCGAAAGCCUGACGCAGCGACGCCGCGUGAGUGAUGAAGGCCUUCGGGUUGUAAAGCUCUGUGGGGAGAGACGAAUAAGUGGGGUCGAACAGGCUCCAUGAUGACGGUAUCUCCUUAGCAAGCACCGGCUAACUCUGUGCCAGCAGCCGCGGUAAUACAGAGGGUGCAAACGUUGUUCGGAAUUACUGGGCGUAAAGCGUGUGUAGGCGGCCUCGUAGGUCGGAUGUGAAAGCUCUCG